rnacentral:lncRNA from 1 species
UCUUAGGAAAGAAUUAAGGUCAAAAUGCAAGAAGAGAUUCAAAGGCUCACACAAGCACCACCAAACAGGCAGCAGCGUGGUGGCGGUAUGCGUGCGUAGUGUGAAGGCCCAUGCUUGAAGUUAGGCGGUGGCUUCACUCAGUUGCUCUCCACCUCAUUUGGCUACAGGAAACCAAACACCUGCGCUGGGAAGAAACUACCUGCGGGCCACAGUGCAGAGCAGCAUGACCAGGGAAAGGGGAGAGGCCGGGCAACUCCCGGCCAGCUGAAAGCCCACUUUUGUUUGACCUACAUCCCAAUCACCCUCUAUCUCUCCUCGGGAGGGAGAGGCUGCACCGUGGAAGGUGUGGUUUUCCCCAAGGGACCGAAGUAGUCCUAUGGCUACAGGAAGCCAGCCCUGGCCUCCAGGGCCCUGAGCUUGGGGGAGGAAGAACCGCCUCCUCCACCCGAGUCCGGUUAGUUGGCUCUGGAAUGCAAUGCUUUUUAAAGUGUCCGAGUGAUAGGCACUUUCUAAGUAUGUACAGCGAUGGUCCGAUAAGAAACCAGGCGUGAGGCUUUGCGGGUCAACGCCUACCAGCUCUACCGGUACAGCUAGCUGCUGCCCGGGCUGGGGCUGGGGACGCCCCCCUUUACAAACUUCCUUAUAGAAUCUGCUUCCUGCUGGGGCCCCUGUUUUUCAAUUUCUACUUCUGGAAUCAGAAAAAGAAAAAUAAAAAUCCCAACCAUC